GAUGAACGCUGGCGGCGUGCCUAAUACAUGCAAGUCGAGCGAACGGACGAGAAGCUUGCUUCUCUGAUGUUAGCGGCGGACGGGUGAGUAACACGUGGAUAACCUACCUAUAAGACUGGGAUAACUUCGGGAAACCGGAGCUAAUACCGGAUAAUAUUUUGAACCGCAUGGUUCAAAAGUGAAAGACGGUCUUGCUGUCACUUAUAGAUGGAUCCGCGCUGCAUUAGCUAGUUGGUAAGGUAACGGCUUACCAAGGCAACGAUGCAUAGCCGACCUGAGAGGGUGAUCGGCCACACUGGAACUGAGACACGGUCCAGACUCCUACGGGAGGCAGCAGUAGGGAAUCUUCCGCAAUGGGCGAAAGCCUGACGGAGCAACGCCGCGUGGGUGAUGAAGGUCUUCGGAUCGUAAAACGCUGUUAUUAGGGAAGAACAUAUGUGUAAGUAACUGUGCACAUCUUGACGGUACCUAAUCAGAAAGCCACGGCUAACUACGU
rnacentral:rRNA from 1 species